rnacentral:rRNA from 1 species
CACGUAGGGCGCAAGCGUUGUCCGGAAUUAUUGGGCGUAAAGAGCUCGUAGGCGGUCUGUUGCGUCCGCUGUGAAAACUCGGGGCUUAACCCCGAGCCUGCAGUGGAUACGGGCAGACUAGAGGUAGGUAGGGGAGAAUGGAAUUCCCGGUGUAGCGGUGAAAUGCGUAGAGAUCCGGAGGAACACCGAAGGCGAAGGCAGUGUCCUGGCGCGUAACUGACGCUGAGGUGCGAAAGCCAGGGGAGCGAACGGG